rnacentral:lncRNA from 1 species
CUACUUACAUACUUUGCUACAAUUGUCAAAAAGAGGGUUUAAUUUGUGUGUCAAGUAAUUCUCGCAUCAGUCAGCUUUCGUAAGUUAGGUGAAGAGUGUAAGUUAUCCAAAGAGUGUCAGUCGACUUUCGUAAGUUAAAAAGAGCGAUAGUCAGACAUUCGUAAGUUAGACAAACGAAUGGGUGGCUUUGGUAAAUUUAGCUUUAGCAAAUUUGGCUUUAGAAAAAUUAGCCUUCGCAAAUUUGGCCUUAGCAAAUUUGGCUUUAGUAAGUGGUUUGACUUUAGCAAAAGUGGCUUUAAGUUUUAGCUUGGCUUAGAGAAUAUUAUUUCAUGGACCUAUUUUGACUCAUGGCUUAUAUCAAUAAUCCAAAGAGAUGGUGUUGUGUAAGACAAGCCUAUGACGGGUAGAAUAAAGAGAAAAGCCCACAAGAAGCAUGCUAACCCUGCAUUUGCCAUGACUCCUCACUCGUACAUGGGAAGGAAAAUGUCUCUGACAUUGCACAAAGAGCUCAGGAAAAGGUAGAAGGAAGCAGAUAACUACCUCCACUACAAAGAACCACUAAGGAAGAGGGAGAGAGGGACAU